GCUGGUUUAGUGAAUUAAACCAGGUCAAACCGGAAUAAACCGGUCAAUCAUUUCCCUUCUUCUCCACAGCGACGUUUGCACCUCGCUCCACCAAGUCGCUCUGGUGAUUGAUCUUCGAUGUGGAAUUUUCCGAGCGAGUUCAUCACGUCGCUUCAAUCACUCGCUCCAGCACACGCUCAUGAUGCGGCGACCUCACUAACUCGUUUUGCCAAGUCGCUGUGAACUUCUUCGAGCUUGAGCUCCGAUUCGCUCUUCUUUGUCUCGAGACCCGAGCUUCCUCGUCUCCAGCUUCAGCCGUCGUCUCCUUCGUCGUCACUGGCUCACGGCCUCUCUAUCUCCCGUGGCCGUGCUCAUUCUCGUCGUCGGGAUCAUCCUUCACCGCGACCGGAUGCCAUCGACGUGAGGUCUCAUGUCCACGACCUCUCCAUUUCUCGAGCUAUCCUCCUCCAGGUCGUGCUCUCAGGUGCUCGAGUCUCAUCGUCGUCGAGCUUUGCCGUGGUUGGAAUCAGCCUCGCCGUCGUUCGCGUUGAAACCAAACUCUCGAUCUCCUCCAAUGGAGACUUCUUCAUUAUUUUCAAAACCAGUCCCUGUCCUUUUGAUUCUUUACAAAACGGACCCAGCCUUUGGAAUGUGCAAAAAUGCCCUUGCGAAUCAAACCCAAAGUUUCCAAUGCGCGAUUUAGCCCAAGCGAAUAUUACGAAUUUGCAACCUUGGUCCCUGGAUUCUUGUUAACAUCACAGUGGACCCAAAACUUCCAAACUUUGCAGUAUAACCCUUGAAUUUCGCCCCAAACUUCCAAAUAAGCAUUCCAACCCCUAUGAUAUGCAAAUGAGUAUGCAAAUACAACACAAAGACCUAAAUGCAACCUAAAAUGAUCAUAAUAAGCUAAAAUAUGAAUCUAAAACUUAUAAAAAUCAUGAGAUAUCAACUCCCCCACACUAGUCCUUUACUUGUCCUCAAGUAAACUUUCAAGAACAUGGGAAGUGAUGUUUCAAUACACAAAUGGAAAUUCAUGACCUUAAGAAACUCUUCAAUGCCAUCGUUGUGAUAUCCUUACAAAAUCAUACCAAAUAGCAAGAGCAAUUUGUUUUUAUUAGCUCUAACUUCUCUCGGCCUAUCAAUUCCUUUGAUAUUUUAACUCAUUAUCAUGAAUCCUCAAAUCAACCAACUCUCACAUUCAAUAAGAAAUAUCAUAAGUGAAUUCUCGCAAAUUGCCAAUUGGUCCAAAUCAUUUGGUUUGGUGAGAAAA
rnacentral:lncRNA from 1 species